rnacentral:lncRNA from 1 species
CGGAUGCCUCCUUCGAGAUAGGAGCGGCUUCCUGGGGGGCCACAACCUCCGUCUCUCCCUCUAGUUCCUGAGUAAGAGGGGGAUCGACCUCAUGGUCCUCUAUCUCGGUCGUUUCCUGCUCCCCCUCGUUAAGGAUCGACCCAUGUGCAAUAAAAAGGUCAUAAUCCUCGGGCUCAUCCUUGAGCCGGUAGAGAUAAUCGGGCUCUAGUACCUUAGACUUGGUGAUCACUUUCUUCUUCUUCGCCUCGGCGUCCGGAGAACCUGGACUUUAUUUUCUUCUUCUUCUUCUUCUUCUUCUUCUUCUUCUUCUUCUUCUUCUUCUUCUUCUUCUUCUUCNNNNNNNNNNNNNNNNNNNNNNNNNNNNNNNNNNNNNNNNNNNNNNNNNNNNNNNNNNNNNNNNNNNNNNNNNNNNNNNNNNNNNNNNNNNNNNNNNNNNNNNNNNNNNNNNNNNNNNNNNNNNNNNNNNNNNNNNNNNNNNNNNNNNNNNNNNNNNNNNNNNNNNNNNNNNNNNNNNNNNNNNNNNNNNNNNNNNNNNNNNNNNNNNNNNNNNNNNNNNNNNNNNNNNNNNNNNNNNNNNNNNNNNNNNNNNNNNNNNNNNNNNNNNNNNNNNNNNNNNNNNNNNNNNNNNNNNNNNNNNNNNNNNNNNNNNNNNNNNNNNNNNNNNNNNNNNNNNNNNNNNNNNNNNNNNNNNNNNNNNNNNNNNNNNNNNNNNNNNNNNNNNNNNNNNNNNNNNNNNNNNNNNNNNNNNNNNNNNNNNNNNNNNNNNNNNNNNNNNNNNNNNNNNNNNNNNNNNNNNNNNNNNNNNNNNNNNNNNNNNNNNNNNNNNNNNNNNNNNNNNNNNNNNNNNNNNNNNNNNNNNNNNNNNNNNNNNNNNNNNNNNNNNNNNNNNNNNNNNNNNNNNNNNNNNNNNNNNNNNNNNNNNNNNNNNNNNNNNNNNNNNNNNNNNNNNNNNNNNNNNNNNNNNNNNNNNNNNNNNNNNNNNNNNNNNNNNNNNNNNNNNNNNNNNNNNNNNNNNNNNNNNNNNNNNNNNNNNNNNNNNNNNNNNNNNNNNNNNNNNNNNNNNNNNNNNNNNNNNNNNNNNNNNNNNNNNNNNNNNNNNNNNNNNNNNNNNNNNNNNNNNNNNNNNNNNNNNNNNNNNNNNNNNNNNNNNNNNNNNNNNNNNNNNNNNNNNNNNNNNNNNNNNNNNNNNNNNNNNNNNNNNNNNNNNNNNNNNNNNNNNNNNNNNNNNNNNNNNNNNNNNNNNNNNNNNNNNNNNNNNNNNNNNNNNNNNNNNNNNNNCUUCUUCUUCUUCUUCUCAUCCUCCUCCUCCUCCUCCUCCUCCUCCUUCUCCUCCUUCGCGGCAGCCCCGAUCUACCCCGAAAUAGAGGGUCCGGCAAGCAAGGACGGAUCCUCAUCCUCGUCCAAUGGCCUUAGUAGACAAACCUAUAAGAAAAGAGAAAAGGUUAGCACUGUGUAAGUUAAGAGCAAGAUGGUAAUUAUUUAGGAAAAAACCUCACCAUGAGAACGGUCCUCCCAUUUGCCCUUCAAAAGCGCUCGGAGUAUGGAAUCUGCUUGCAGAUCCCCUCGAUCCAAUCCUUGAAUCGGGGAAUUGCAUUAGGAUCUUGGGAGACAGUUGCACAACAACAAACACAAGCAAUGAGAGAAGGAAUAAAAUGAUGUGAAUACUCAUGGAAGAUAAUAAUUACGAGAUGCAUUUCAUCUCUCGGGGAAGGGCAAAAACUCGGGAGGGAUCAGGUCUUCAGUUUUCACCGGAACGAAUCUACCAUGCUAGACUCGAUCUCAGUCCUCGUUGAUGCUUGCGAAAGGAGCCUUCCUUGCUCGGAGAACGAGCUUGAUCAGCCCCCCUUGAAUAAUUUGGGACUGUAUAUGCGGAGUAAAUGGUCAAGGGUAAACCCUAGGGCUUCGGUAUUGUUCACGAAAUAGCGUAAGAGGAUCACGAUCCCUUAAAAAGAUGGGUGUAUUUGCCCAAGGCAUACCUCGUACCUUUUGCAGAAAGCAAGAACUAUGGGUUCUUCCAGGGUGAGCGUGAAGGGGUAAAUGUAAACACUUAAAUACCCUUCACAUGAGUAGUGAUGUCGUUAUUGGGCCUAGGGGUGACCACAUCCUUACCCUCCCAAUUACAAUGUGCUCGGACUAUAGAUAAGGUUUCUUUAGUGACAGAGCAUAUAUAUCUCCAUGCUCCCUCGCCUCGGUCCUGUUGACUAGAGGCCUUCUCGGCGUGGAAGUCAUUCCUGAUAGCAGCCCCCAGGAAUGAAGCUCUUCAUAGGGGGCUCCUAAGCCACUUCGGGAACGACCACCUUGGCAUCUGUGGUUGGGUGGGAAUAUAAAGGAACGGCUUGCUGAGGCACUGACUUGGAGGUUUUUGCCAUUGUAAUAUCGGAAAUAUGAAGGUUUGAAGAAGGAUAUGAAGGUUUGAAGAAAAAUAUGAAGAUUUGAAGAUGGUAUGAAGGUUUGGGUUGAAGGUUCAAAGAAUUUAUAUGAGGAUUGAGGAUGAAGAUAUGAAAGUUCAAAGGGAAAUGUAUGAAGAUUUGGGGAAGUUAAAUAUCGUUUGUGAGUUUGAGGGUAAAAUCUAGAAUCGGAAAGUGAAAGAACUGAAAAAGGUCGAAGCUUUUAUAGGGGAAAAAUAAUCAAUGCGCAACGUUUCGCAUUCGAAGGCAGCCAUUCCGUGACUAACACGUGUCCGAAGUCAAAUGAUACGACUGAUGGGACGUUUUGAUUUACUUUUCACCUCAAUUUUAACGUACGAAGGAAGGAACCUGGGUUCAUCUGUCAUUUCCCAUCAUUUCGGCAAACCUAUUAUCUGAAAAACGAAGGGACUAUCUGUAUACGGGUAAAAUUAGAGAUAAUACAUACCACGAUUUCCCGGUGAAGAAAAUGGAAGAAGGGCACGGAUGCACGAGAUUGAAAUCGAGGUUGAGAGCCCUUCAUAUCGAGAUCCAUGAAAGGUGAACGAUGUGCUCAUCAUCGAACCUGAUGAAGCGACACGUUCCAGACCCAGGAUGACUUUUAGACCUCGGAAAAUACGAUAAAAAGUUACACUCGACGGAUAGAGGGCAGUGAUAUUCGCACCCAACCAAAUAUCACGGCGCAGAUCUCGCUUGAUAUAUGUUACGGAUCAGUAAUUAACGAGAAAGGGAGAUUUUUACCCUUUUUAGACUUAUAUUAGGGAUGCAACUCUCCUACUAUAUAAAGAGAAGGUUUUUCUUUUGUAAGAAACAUUGUAACAGGCGAAUCAAAGCAAUACAAAUUCAUUUUCUGCCUUUUAAUUACUGUUAAAGUUGUUGUUCACUUAACCUGCUUUUCAUUCAUGACUGAGCUCGAAUCGAGGAUCUGAUCGAGGACGAGGUCAUUGUUUCAUCUAAGUUCAGGCUUGGCCAUAAUGUCACAAUUGGUUUGAUCGUUUAAUUCGUCUUUAAUUUAUUUAUCUAAUAUACUUAAUUAUUUGUAUUGAAUCAAACCACAUAUCCUUAAAACCGCUUACAAAUUUAAUUGUUAUCCGAUUUAAGGGUAAACAGAGGUCAAGGUAAUUUUUUGUUAUUUAUUAGAGAGACGAUAUCUUUUUAGGUCAAGGUAAGUUUUUGUUAUUUUGUAGAGAGACGAUAUACAAUAUUAGUAUUAAACUGAAUUAGUAUCAGUGCAUGCAUAUAUAUGCUUCGUAGAGCGUCUAAACUGCUAAGUUGAACCACAAUAUUACAAGAGUUGGAAGAAAAUGUCAGUUGGUGGAUCGUACCCAAUGAUGUCAUAAUUUUUUAUUUAAAAACAAUUCAACUUUAAAGUUUUUACUUUAUUUUUAGAUGAUUUAUAGGCACAUAAAUAUCUCUAACUUAUUUUAGACCACAAGUUAUUUUUCUAUCUUACUUAAAUUUGUGUCGAGUCAAAUAUUGUCACAUAAAUUGGUAAAUUGGGUUGGAGAGCGUAGUACUUUAGUAUAACAUCUUCUUUUAAGUUCCUCCUUUGCAAGUAAAUCAGAGCGAAGUUUUUUGAACUAAUUUCGAGUUGAUUAGAUCUCUUCAUCCUCAAUUUUGUCAAGCAUCUCCAUUUUCUCACUGAUUAGUGUUAAGUGUAUUCAUAAAAGACAUAAAUCUAUCAUUCCUUAGUGUAAAUAUAUCAUGCUGACAAAAAAAAUCACUUCUCUCGAUUCCUUUUUUUUUUUUGUUGUAGAUCACUCAAUGUAAUACUAGCAUUUAAAAAAAAAAAGGAUAUGGUUUGGGAUUCAAUCGAACGACUAGAAUCAAGACUCGCCGACACGUUCUAUUAAAUGGACCCAACCCAAUGAUGACGAAAGGUCCAAUCAAGUAAUAAAUCAAAGGACCAUUUGACUCAGCUGAUUUAAUUUCUCUCUGAAGAUAAUAAAGAAGUGUAUUACAUGAGGGAUUCUUGUGAUUCACAUUUCACAUCAGAAGCCCACUCCCACUAAUUGUCGACACUCAACGCUCCCUGUGUAAAUAUCAAUCAACUUGUGUUGUUGCGGAUUUCACAAUGGAUAUUCUUCCAUUUGUUUAUCAUAAAUAUUGUGGUUAAUUGAAUCAUAAUGAUAAUAAUAUUCACAACAAAUAUAUUUUCUCCUUUUCUUUUGGAAUAAUAAGAUGCAGUUUUUGACCACUAUGGUGUGUUUGGUAGGAAGGAAAAUAUUUAUGAUCUCAUUUUUCUCCAAUUAAAAGAAAAUAUUUUUCAAAAUUCUUUCUCAAUCUUUUUCAUCCUAUUUCUCAUCCUCAUCAACCCACCCCCACACCCACCCACCCAACCGCCCUACUCACCCCACCCUAAAUAAAAAUAUUUUUAAUACUAUUUUCUUUUCAUUUUAUAGAUAGAUUUUUUUUUUGUAUUUCAAUAAAUGAGUAUUUUUUACAUGAUAUAAAAAAGUAUUUUUUUCAUUUCAACAAAAAAAAUACUUUCUUUUCAUAGAAAAAAUAUUUUCUUUCGUUUCAACAAUAAAAAAAUAUUUUCUUUUUAUGAUUUAAAUCUUUUUNNNNNNNNNNUACCAAACACACCCUAUAUCUUCCGUAUUACAUACACUAAAAUAGUACACGUAACAUUCCAUUCGUCUUGGUAACUUAUCUUUUACCUAGUAUUUGGUUUGCUUUUUUGUAUAUAGUCUUACUUUGUCUUGUUCAUGUCGGACUAUUUCAUCAAUUUCAUUUUAAGUGUUAAUAUUGAGAAAAAAUCCAAUAUAAUAUAUUAUUAUAUUAUAUUAUAUUUGAACUGCUUUCCUACUCAAAUAAUUUAUUUUAUUGUUAAUUUUAAUAUAGAAAAAUAUACCUAAUUAUUAAAGAACAACUAAGAAAAAUUUUAAGAAUAUAAAUGUGUGAGAAAAAAUAGGAAAAAAUGUUAGUAAAAGCCAAUAUCACUAAUGAUUUUGCAAACAUAAAGAUCUAAAGGUGGAAUGUCAUCGAUGUUUUUACUCUUUGAAAAUAAAACCACUUGGUGGAUAAAAUUAUAAUCACGGUUAAAUAUUCAAACAUGAGAUGAACUAAUAUUAAGAAUCUAAAUCAACAGAAAAUGAAUUAUAUUUCAUGUUAAAACCAAAUAAUUAAAUCUUUCAAUUAUUUAUUUAGCAAGAGAAUACAAUUAAAUUAUUUUUUAAAUUCAUCAUAUGAGAGAAAUUAUUUUUCAAGUUGAAAAAAAUAUAAUAUUAAGAAGAUCAUACAAGUAUUUGAGGAAGCACAAUCUAAGCUAAAUCCUGAACAAGAAUAAGUUUUCAAGAUUAUAUUAUAAAAACUGACUCGGGUAUAGCGGGAUUAUCUUUUGUAGAUGCCUCCGACGGAAUCAAAAUAAUAUUUCUAUGUCAUGUAUUAUUUGCAAAUAUCAAAUCAAGAGGCAUGAUAUUAUUAGCAGUAAGAACAAGUGGUUUACCAACAACAAUUUUAUUAUGAGGUCGUACAACUCACUUUAGAUUUGAUAUACCUCUUGAAAUAACUGAAAUAACCAUCACAAAUAUGUCAAAUCAGAUCAAUAGUGCUAAAUUUAUAAGGAAAACAAAAGUUAUGGGAUGAAGCGAAUUUGGCUAAGCGUCAAACGAUCAAAAUAAUUACCCAUUGUUUUAGAGAUAUAUUGGAUAUCGAGAACCAUUUGGUAAAAACGUAAUAGUUUGGGAGGUGAUUUCUGUCAGAUACGAUCAGUAGUUCCAAAAUUGACCAAAGCAGAAACUGUAAAGCUAGCUUUCCAAAAUUAUACUUAUGACCUCAAAUAAAAAAUAUUCAAAUGACAAGAAAUAUAAAAUUAAUAACAAAUCCAACAUUCAAUGACUUCUUGCUUCCUGUCGGAAACGAAGAAGAGCAUCAAAUAAAAGAUGAUUUGGUUCUUCUAGAACACUUGGUUAUUGUAAUGAUCCGGCUGGUCGUUUUGAGUAUCUGCACUUCGCUCGGUAUUUUGAGGUCUCGAGUAUCUUCGCAUGAUGUAUUAUGACUUGUGUAAGUCGUCGGUAUUGGUUUUCAAGUUAUCCGAAAUCGAUUUGGAAGAAUGAACUUAAAGAUUUAAGCUCUAAGUUGGAAGAGUUGACCAAGUUUGAUUUUUUAGCAUUUAACCUCGGAAUACAAUUCCGUCAAUUCCGAUAGCUCCGUUGGGUAAUUUUGGACUUAGGAGCGCGUCCGAACUGUAAAUUGGAGGUCCGUAAUUGAAUAAGUCUUGAAAUGGCGAAAGUUGGAUUUUUGGAAAGUUUGACGGGGAGUGGACUUUUUGAUAUCGUGGUCGGAUUUCGAUUUCGUCAGUUCGAAUAGGUCUGUAAUGACAAAUGUGACUUGUAUGAAAAAAUUGGGAUCAAUUGCACGUGAUUUAAUAGGUUUCAGCAUCGGUUGUAGAAGUUGAAGUUUCAAAGUUCAUUGACUUGGACUUGAGAUACGAUUUGUCGUUUUGAGGUUGUUAUGCGUGAUUUGAAGCUUCGAGUAGGUUCGUUUUGUCAUAUAGAACUUGUCCGCAAAAUUUAGAUCCAUUUGGAAUUGAUUUGAUAUGGUUCGGACACUUGGUUGUGAUUCUAGAAGUUCUUAAAGUUUAGUUUGAUCCUCAUGCAUUUAGGCGUCCGAUUCGUGGUUUUAGAGGUUAUUUUGAUGAUUUGAUCGCACGAGCGAGUUCGUGUUGUGUUUCUGGACUUUGGUUCAUGGUUAGUUUGGAUCCUCAAGGGCUCGGGUGAGUUUCGGAAUGAUUUUUCAUAAACUUUGAUUUUUGGUAAUGGUAUCAUCACAGUUGCGAUGUUUUUGUCGCAAAUGCGACAACCGCAAUUGCAAAGCAGCCAUCGCAUUUACAAGGUCUGGGCUGCUGGGAAAAUUUGCAUUUGCCAAGAACCCUGCCGCAUUUGCGAAAUGUUGGUCUUCGUAUUUGCGAAGUAUUGGGUCGCAAAUGCGACCUUGACAGGAAAACUUCUUGAGAGUCGAAUAGGACUCGGAUUUGAAAACAAAAUAUAUAUUUGAACUCGUGAGGCUAUGGGUAGUCAAGACCUACCAUUGGACCCGGAUUUUUACCUGGCGGGCCAGGGGUUUGACUUUUUAGAAAUCUAAUAAAAAUCACAGUUUUAUUAAUUAAAAUUACUUUCUCUUUCAUUGUGUGAUGUAUUCAAGUCAUCGUUGGAUAGAUUGAGCCGAGCGGAGGCGAAUUUGUAAAGGAAAAGGCUAAAUUUAGUAUUGAGUUAGCCGAAUUGAGGUAAGUGUCUUGCCUAACUUUGUUGAGGGAAUUUUUCCUCCUAUUUGACAAUGUUUUCUACAUGCGGGGGUGAUACAUAUAUGAGGUGACGAGCGUAUAUAUAUGUGCCAGGGUUAAUCAUGCUUGGGGGUAGAUUAUGUAUAAUUAUGUCUUGUACAAUUACGUGACCUUCUUGCUCCAUGCCUUACUUGACUCUUAGAUACUAAGAACAUAGUAUUAAAUGUUGAAAAUCAAGAUUUAAAUUAUUAUAACUUGAUCAAAUUUGAUGGAAUUCUAAGAAUACAUUUAUGUGUCUAAUUCGGUUAUUCCUAUGCGUAGUCAUUAAUACAUUGCUACAGCCGAUCUUCUAGAGAUACUAGAUUCUAUACUUGUGUUGUUGAUCAUUUGGAGAUUUGUGGAAGUACUUGAAUAAUACGGUUCUUGAGGGUUUAUUGAAUCAUCGUUGGCUUGGAAAGUUGUGAUUGGGAUUUGUUUGGAAUAUUCGUUUAAACACUCUCCUUGAUGUUAUUUAUUCCCCAUGUGUUGUUUGUCAUUGAUAUACACAUGUUUGGUAAGGAAGAGUGUAAAGUACGAAGGGUGAUGCCGUGCCAUAGUUAUACAUUAUCAUGUGAGGGAGAGUGUAAAGCACGAAGGGUGAUGUCGUGCCAUAUUAUUUGAGAGUAAAAGCACGAAGGGUGAUGCCGUGCCAUAUUAUUUGAGAGUAAAAGCACGAAGGGUGAUGCCGUGCCAUAUUAUUGGGAGUAAAAGCACGAAGGGUGAUGCCGUGCCACAUCAUUUGAGAGUAAAAGUAGGAAGGGUGAUGUUGUGCCAUUUCAUUUAUAUUGUUAUGCUUUUAUGUUAUCGUGAGAUCAUGGCACGAUGGGUGUUUUCGUGCAGGUGAGGAUGAGGGACAUGCAUCAUGUUGUGAUAUCUGUUUUUCCGUGUAUAUGUUCACGUCUUUAUCUUGAACGGUUAUUGUCGUAUUUAUAGACCUCGUGUGACUUGUUAUUAUUGUCCUGUCCUUGCUCUCUAUUUCAAUCGUUGUUGUGUUGUACAUAUCUUGUACUUGUUUUAUUUGCAAAACACAUGCCUAUUUCCUGUUGUUAUAAUUACCUCCAUGUCGUGUCUAUUCUGUUGCAUUUUAGUACAAGCCCUUUUUCUAUGUUAGUUAUUCAUGCCUCUGCUUGUUAACUUGUAAAGAUCAUGUGAUUCCUUCUUAUUUGUUAUAUCUGUACUUAGGCCUCCAUCAUGCUAGUUAAUUGAAGUUGAUAUUCCUUAUUUUUCAAUUGUUGUCAUUACUCACAUGCUUUCCGCCUAGUCUUUUAUUGUUGCCCACAUGUAUAUCCUCGUUCAUUAUUGCUACUUGCGUAUUUCCUACUUUGUAAUUCCUAUUUUCGAUAUUUAUGUCAUCUAGUUGGUUCUAUUAUAAGUAUAUGAGGAUGAGAUAAAAGCACGAAGGGUGUUGCCAUGUAAUUAACUUGAUAUCUGAGUACAUUCCUCAUGCUAUGAAAGUUAUGAAGUGACUGUAGUGGUUUAUCAGUUUCAUUCUAAGGAAAGCGAUGGUCAAGGUAUUGUAAGAUGCUAAAUUGUGAUCACUGCUAGUAUUCGAUUAUUAUUUGCGUAUUCGUUUCAUGUAAUCUUUUCUGUUAUAGCGUGGUAUAACUCUAUUGUUGAUUUAUACUACAGGUUUUUAUCAGUGAGUAUCUUUUAACUAAAAAGCCUCGUCACUACUUCCACGAGGUUAGACGAGAUACUUACCAGUAUAUGGGGUCGGUUGUACUGAUACAACACUUCUGCACAUUGCGUGCAGAUUUUGGAGUGGAGCUGCAAGUGAUAUCGGGUGCUGACUUUGAAGAUGUUCAUGCAUUCUGGAUAUAGUUUCCACUUGUCCUUGGUAGCUUAGGUUGUGCUAAUCUCUUAAGUAAAUUUCAAACACAUCGUGUAAUUAUUUGUACUAGCUUUAUAAAUUCCAAGUCUUAGAAGGUCAUGGUUCGUACUACUAGUUCUUGGGUAAAUUUGUAAAUGUUCAGAUAAUUCUUCUCUAUUCUUACUAUAAUCUCAUUCAGAUUGUAUUUUCUGUUAGUGGCUUACCUAGCGGAUCGAGUUAGGUGCCAUAACGACUUGUGAUUUUUGGGUCGUGACAGUUAUCAACCCCAAUGGUAAUAGUAGUGCAUUUAAUAAAGAAAAUAUUUUCAUCAUUAGAUUAAAAUGCAAUUUGUGUAAAUUAUAUGAUAGAAAUUAAAGAGCUAUCUUAGCUAGCAAAAAUGAAUAUACUGAUCAACUAAAUAAAAGGUUGAUUGCUAUGUUUUAUGGUAAUGUUACACCCAAUGUUUCGUACGUAAAAGUAUGCCAUAAGUAAAUUAAUGGGAGCUCGGAAAUGAGAUGUUACAUCUCGCAUUUUCGUGUGUUAAAGUUUUUUCGUAAGUUAAUCGAUGUAAGUUUGGGAAUGAUAUUAUUUUGAGAUUAUAAAUAUUAUGCUAUUUCAAACAAGCGACAAGUAAAUUCGUGAAUGUGAAAGGGUAAGCUGUAGCGAUCCGGCAGGUCAUUUUGAGAAUUAAUGCCCCGAUCAUCUAUUCACUGCUUUCCCCGUAUCUAUUUCUAUUAUUGUGAAUUGCCGGGAUGGUUCAUCUUGAGUUUCGGAGUGUUUUGGGACACUUAGACCCUAAAUAAGAGCGUAAGUCUUAGAAUUUGGACCGUAGUCGGGGAAGUAUGAAGAUGUCUCCGGAAUAGAAUUACGUUGAUUCCGCUAGCUCCGUUGGGUGAUUUCGGUCUUAGAGGCAUGUUUGGAUUGCGUUUUGGAGGUCUGUAGCUCAUUUAGGCUUGAAAUGGCGAAAGUUGAUUUUUUGGAGUUUCGGCCCAACAGUGGAAAUUUUGACAUCAGGGUCAAAAUCCGAUUCUAAAAGUUGGAAUAGGUCCAUAGUAUUGAAUAUGACUUGUGUGCAAAAUUUGGGUUCAAUCGUACGUGUUUUGCUUGGUUUCGGUAUCAGAUGUAGAAUUUUGGAAAUUCAAGUUUUUAAGUUUGGAUUAGAGGGUGAUUCGUAGUUUUAGAGUUGUUUGAUGUGAUUUGAGUGAUCAACUAAGUUCAAAUGAUGUUUUAGGAUUGAUUGGUAUGUUUGGUUGAGGUUCCAGGGGCCUCGGGUGAGUUUCGGAUGCUCAACGGGUCAUUUUUGGACUUAAAGAAGUGGCAGAUUUUCUGGUGUUUUGUUGCAGUGAAAUCCUUCAUCGCGUUCGCGAGAGGAGUCUCGUGUUCGCGUAGAGCAUCUGGGAGAAGCAGCUAAGUGGUACUUUGCAUUCGCGAAGGUGUGGACCCUUUAGCCUACGCGUUCGCGACAUGGUCCUCGCGUUCGCGAAGGGUCUGCCAGUGUAAGCUAUGCGUUUGCGAAAGGACCCUCGCGUUCGCGAAAGAGGAAUUUGGGCCAGUGGGAUUUUUCUCAACGCGUUCGCGAAGAAGGACGCAUCUGGGCAGAAUUUAAAAAUCCAAAAUCGAGGGUUUGAGUUCAUAAUUUUAAAAAUUAAUAGAGAGCUCGGUAGAAGGCAAAAUUUGGAGAGAUUUUCGGAGGAAGUUUGUGGGUAAUGAUUCCUAACUACUUUUUUAUUAUAUCCCAUUAAUCUAAGCUCAAUUUCAUCAUUUAAUUUCGAAUUUGGGGUGAAAAUUUAGGGAAAAUUUUAGAAAAUCUUUAGGCCGAAUUUUGGGAUUUUGAUCGAUAUUUUGGUAUCGGAUUUGGGUGAAUUUGGUAUGGUUAGACUCGUGAGUGAAUGAGUGUUCAUAAUUUGUGAUUUUUACCUGAUUCCUAGAUUUUGGUCCGGGGAGGAUUUUUUGGCAUUUUCCUAUUUUCUUACCUUAGCUUUGAAUUAAUUAGUUAAACUAGUUGCUUGUAGUUUUAUUUACGUUAUGUAAUUAAUUUGAUUAGAUUUGGGCUACUUUGAGUUGGAUACUCGUGGCAAGAGCGUGAUAUCAGAUUGAUUUUGAGCUGGUUCGAGGUAAGUGGCUUGCUUAACCUUGUGUGGGGGGAAUUUCCCUUAGGAUUUUGGUACUGUUAUUAUAUGAAUGCCGUGUACGUGAGGUGAUGAGUGCGUACAUGUGCUAAUUGUUAAAAAACUCCGUUUUCUUUAAGUAAAUAUCUAUGUUUUUCCUUUAAUUGAACAAUACUAGUGUGUGAAGCCUCAUGUUUAGCUCAGGAAAGCAUGCUUAUGUGACUUAAUUGUCUUAUUUGCGUUAACUGCUUAUUUGGAUUCUGUGUAGCAUGUCUAGAGUAGGAAUUUCCUAUUUCUUGAUACGAACUUGAAUAGAACUGUCAAUUUCUUGUUAAGACUAUUGUGUAUUUACUUUGGGACUACGGAUCGGUAUUUCGAGAGAUCUCCCUGCACAUUUAUAUUUGGGACUAAGGGACGGUAUCCUGGGAGAUACCCCUGUACUAGAUAUUUACUUUGGGACUACAGAUCGGUAUCCUGGGAGAUUCUCUAUACAUUUACGUUUGGGACUACCAGACGUUAUCCUGGGAGUUCCCCCUGUUGUUAUCUUUGUGUAUUGAGUUAUUUCUUUAUGUGAUAUCAUCUUUAUUGACUGUUAGUAUUUUAAUUAUACUGUCACAUUUCAUACUGUUUUACCUUGUUAUAUAUAUAACCAGUAGGGCCCUGACCUGAUCUCGUCACUACUCGACCGAGGUUAGGCUUGACACAACUGGGUACCGCUGUGGUGUACUCAUGCCCUUUCUUGCACAUGUUUUUCGUGUGUAGAUCCAUGUUCUUCUGCUCAACCAUACUAUCCGUGAGGCGAGGUGAUUCGGAGACUUCGAGGUAUAUCUACCGCGUUCGCAGGCCUGGAAGUCCCUCUCUAUUCUCCCUUCAGUUAUAGACUUCUUGUAUUUUUCUUCGUUUAGACUUCUGGAGUUAGAACACUAUGUAUUUCUUUAGCUUGUGAUUCAUGCGAUUCCGGGUUUUGGGAGUGCUAUGUUCAGUCGAGAGUGUUAUUAUUGUAUAUGCCGAGCGACAUUUUAAACUCUUUUAUUAUAGUUACUUGUUAGUUGGCUAGUUUUGUUUCUUUAAUUCAUUUUCCGCAAAUUGUUAGGCUUGACUAGUAGACUAGGUGCCAUCACGAUAGUUCACGGAGGGAGAACUUGGGUCAUGGCAUAAGCGAAUCGAAGAAAGUGAAUUUCGGCGAAGUUUGACUUUUUGAGAUAAAUACGAUCCAAGCUACAAUACCCCGUAUUUAUGGAUUAGUGUCAUACAAGGUACCACAUGACCAUGAUAGUAAGAUGUAUAAGGUAUGUUAAAAGUGAGUAGUAUUUUAAGUAAUUUGAGAUAAUUCUUAAUUAUGCAGGUAAUUAAUUAACUAUUGGGUAAUGAGAGAUUACCUAGUUAAUUAAGGAUUUAUUGGGUGAUUAAUUAAGCACAUUUGGAUAAGUAUUAAACUCCAAGAUGGCAGCAAAUUAAGCCCAAUUUUAUGACUCAUUAGUCAUUAGGAUAGGUGGCACAUUAAGGGGUCUUUGGGCAAGACUAAUCCCUAAAAAAUGAGGCCCACCUAAAAAUUUAGUAUAACUUUUCUAGUUCAAAAAUCAUUCUCCUAACCUCUUAAAAGACUUUCAGCAAAGGAGUGUAGUAACGUUAUUGACAAAAACAUUCUGCCAAGGAAUAUAGCAACAUUAUUGACAAAGAGUUUCAGCCAAGGAACGUAGCAACGUUAUUGAGAAAGAGUUUUAGCCAAGAUUAUCUUUGCAUAGCAACGCUAUUGCUUCGAGCAUUUUAUACGUAUUUCUCCUACUCCAAUUUUACCGUCACGUAUUUUGUUGCAAUUAACGUGUGUUAGUGGAAUUGUCAAGAAAAUCGACUCAGGCAUGUUAAGGAUAUCACUUCUUUCUUUUGGUGUGAUGUAUAUGACACAAACGAAACAAGAAAAAUCCACAACUUCCAUAAAUGACUCUAUUCAUAGAAUUAUUAGAGGUGCCUAUGUUCUUGAAUUUCCAUGUGUCCUAUUAUUUUAUAAUCUAUUCAUGAGCCUCAGAAAAAUACGUAAAUUGAUUUUAUGAUAUUAAUCAGAGGCAUAAUGGUCUUAUGACACUCCGAAAGAUUUUAUUGACGUACUUCUCAUGAAUUGCAUUCAUUUACAUUGACCCAUGACCAGAUGGAGUUAUAUACGCGUAUAUAUGUAUAUUAUAUGCAUAUGGGAUAUGGAAAAAGGUUACUGCAUUAUAUACGCACAACCACCUGAUCAGCUGGUAUACGUUGAUGAUUUUACCCACAGUGGCCGAGAUGAUGUGAUGAGAUGCCCUCAUAGGCUUGAUGAUGUUAUGAAUACAUGUACUAUGCAUGACAUGACAUUGAUACGCAUAUGCAUGACACUAUAAGUAUUUCAUGAUUUACAGAGUUAUCCAGACUUACGGGUUAAGUCAUUUACUCCAUGUUUCUUUCAUGUCUUUUAUGUACUUAUUUGUGUGCCUUACAUACUCGGUAUAUUAUUCGUACUGACAUCCUUUUUUCCUUGGGACGCUACGUUUCAUGCCCGUAGGUCCCAAUAGAUAGGUCGAAAGUCCUCCAAGCAGGCUAUCAGCUCAGCGGAAGAUGUUGGUGUGCUCCAUUUGCUCCGGAGUUGCUUGUUUGGUCAGUAUGAUUUAGACAUGUAUUGUUUGGUAUGACGGGGCCCUGUCCUUUACGAUAAUAUAUACUCUUAGAGGCUUGUAGAAAGAUGCCAUAUAUACGGAUGCUUGUAUGGCCUUGCCGACCUAUGUUUUGAGUUUACAAAUAAUCAUGUUGGCCUUAUAGGCCCGUAUGUUACAUGUAUAAGUUUUUAUAUCAGGUUGGGUCGUCCUAUAUUGAAUAUUUUCCUAUAUUUAUUCUGGUUAGCCCAUGACGGCCCGUUUGGCCCAUUUGCCAAUGAAAGUAUGAUAAGAAAUAUAUGUUAUGUUGGUACUCGGUUGAGUAAGGUACCGGGUGACCGUUGCGGCCCAUAAGUAUGGGUCGUGACCGGUAAAAAUAAAAUAUUUUUCAGUUUUGACUCAGUAGAAGAUGAUACCAACAAUAACUACCAAGAAGAAUACUUAAAUACUUUAAUACCAAAUGGCCUUCUUCCGUACAUGCUUUUGUCAAGUUCAUUAUUUCUUACGUAUGUUAGUGUCACCAUAUAUAUAAUAGACUAAGUUAAAAUUGAUCUUCUAUUGCAUAUAUGUUUAUGCACGUCAUGCUACUGAAAAUUUAGAUCCGCUAAAUAGCUUAUGUAAUAGUACACAUAUGGUAUAUAGAUUAUUUAACGACAACGUCAUACAUGCAGAACUUAUGAUACUGGUCAAUGUGCUUCUAAGUAUGUGUUUAUCCCCAAAUUCAACUUUUGUCUUCCGAAACUAAAGAAUAUCCUUUUAAAUUUGUGUGAAAAUAAUUUUCAUUAUGUUUAUGUUUUAUAGUUUUAAUAAAUAAAACACAAUGACAAACAUCCUAAAUGUUGAACUAUAUUUACCAUAAUAUGUUUUCUUACACGAAUAACUAUAUGUUGCACUUUCAACAGAGAUAUCAAUAUUAACAAUAAGAGUUUUGGUUGUGGAAUAGUAACCAAAGCAUUAGAAGGCAAUAUACACAAAAAUAUAGCGCAUAUAAAGAAGUGUUUGGCAAGAUACCAUCACGUUAGAUACCUUUAAACUACAAUACAUAAUUAUCUAAUUAACAUGGCUAAACUUUUCCAUUUUCAGAUAUUACUAAUAUCAUAUUAGAAUGGCAGUUGGAAGGAGAAAGACAAUAAACCAACAAAUAAAAGGCAAGCAAAGAAACUGUUCGACUGAAUAUACCUAACAAGUUUGCCGACACUCCUCAAUAUUCAACAGAUGCCAAAAUAUGGGUCCUAAUCAUAAUGCCGACCUUUUUUAUUGCUAUCCAUACUUUAAUAUAGUAUAGUUAUGAAAAAGGUUACUAUCAAGCAAUUCAUGUGGGAGAUGAGCUGGAAUUUCGGUUCAAAGAUACUCAAGAUCUCCAUUUGUGAUUUCAAACUUUUACAUUUUUUUUUUGGGGAGAUAAUAAUAGUUUUCAGUGUAUUGUAUCGAAGCCAUAUGAAGUUAAUUAGCUAGCGAUGUCUUUAAUUCCAACAGAAUGGAUAAUGAAAUAAAUUGCUAUUGAUAUUUUGAUUUUUUGGUUCCUUUUAUUUUCUGCUAUUAAUGAGAUAAUAUAUUUUUAUUUUAUGCUUCUUAUGGGAUCAUAAAUCUACAUAUAACGUGACAUUGGUGGAAGAUUACAAAUUCUUAAAAAGAAAAAUGUUAUGUUGCUCAAUUUUCUUUCUUGAUAGCAGACAAAAUUCAAGAACAAAGACAGAACAAUAUUAUAAAAUGAGAGCAAAAUAUAGCUUUUUUGUGUACAGAAUAUUUCUAUCCCUAUAACGGAUGAUAAUCUUUUUAUUUAUAGCUCUAUUCAGUGAGACAAGAUCCCCAAAUUAAGUUUUUCUUGAAUGAGAAUAAAACUGUCAUUAAUGGAUGCAUAAUGAUUGGUUAUAAAUGCAGAUAUUCUUUGCAACUGCUGCUCAUUGAAUAAUAUUCGAUGACAAUGCUUUGAAUCUUCGUUACUGGCUACUCUAUCUUCGGAAUUCGUUCAACAUCGAUUGCAUGCUUACAUCCGGUGAUGAUUGUUUGCUGACUCAUGUGCCACCUGUAUUUAGUUCUACGUGUCACUUUGUCAUUCAUCCAACUGUCAUUAACCUAUUUUACCCCAUACAGAUACUCCCCUUACUUUUCGGUAACACAACUUAGUGUUACCGGAAAGUAGAUAAGAAUUCUUUUCUUGGCGAAAAAAUUCCUGAACGGUCUCUGACACUUGAAAGGGCACAUGUCUUCUCGCAUUUAAUGACCCAAACAUGUGUUGCUCCAUGAUUCAGCAAAUAUUUUCACUGGUUUUCGAGGUACUCAUGACUAAGAUUUUUGUUAUCUAUAACUUCUCCCCUACUCAUCAUUUUUACUCUUUACUUUCACAACUCCCUCUUCUUCCUUGAUUCUCCUUAGAACCAUUCUGUGACAUUCAACUUUCUUAGUAAAACUUUUCUUCAAACAUAUCUUCAAGCAUUACCAUCCUCGGAAACUCUGGCCUUUUCUUCAAAAGACCCCCAAAGAAAACAAAAACAAAGGAAGUUGAAGCUGAAUCUGAACCUCCCACCCUGAACUCCAUCAUACCUCUUAAACUUAAUACGAAAUCAGACCUUCAAUAACAGAAAGCACCUUCAAAUUCUAAAAGUGAUAGGUUCUGGCCUAUUCGGAGGAACCCUUCUUCCAUUCGUCCUCCUAGUGUCCUUGUCAUGAAGGAGGAAUGCCAUUGGAACAAGGUUGAAAUCCUCACCCCCAAAAAAGGUAGAAAGAGUUACCUUCUCCAAGCCAGGUUUCAUAUAUUUUUACACAUACCCUUUCACUUUGGGCCAUUUAACUUUGAGAAUGGGUGAAGGAACUGACCCAAUAAUCUUAGAGUUAUCCCAUCGAUACCAAGUAUGUUUGGCAUAAGUAGGCCUAUCUGUGUGGCGUACGGUGGUUUGCCACCACCAAUGGUGUUAUGAGACCGAGGAAACCCUAACUCUCGUACAUAUAAUGAACCUCUACUCCAAAAAGAUUUUUCGUGAGGGUAUGCUAAAUCUUAGAAAAUGCGGUGAUCAUGCUCUUCUUACUAGCAUUGACAACGACACUAACCGUGGAUGGAUGGAACAGUUUGUUAUUAUCGCUACCAGGGAUAUCAUCCUAACCACAAUACCAGCUUUUCCCAAAUCAUGAAAUCUUUUUCGUAAGUUUUUCGGGUAUUUGCUUCCUUUCCUUGUAAAAAGAAAUCUUCUUUCUUUGCUAACUUUUUAUUUUCUUUAUUCCAGCCACUCACUAGGAGCUCCAGCGGUUCAAGAUUUGGACCGAUGGGUACAAAAAAUUCUGAAUAUCACUAUACCAGAAUUCUAAAGGUGAAAGGGAAUGACUCCCAAAUACGGGUGGAAAUCCAAAAAUCAUGAUAAAUAAAACUCUUCUUCCUUUAUUUCAACCGUUUAAUACAUUCUGCAAACAAUUUAACUACCUUAUAUUGCCAAACAGGACUUCCGAACGGAUCCAUUGUGUGCCCCGACAUCGAAGCUCUUGAUGACCCAAUGGAAGCUCAACGAGUAUUUUAGAGUGCCCUUAACCAGAGGAGGGCUCGUGAAUGUACUCGUGCCUCUACUAAAGGUGCCUCCUCCCGAAGUCUCUAGUCAAAAAAUAAGCAACCAAAAAGGAAACGUAUCUCCACGGUUGGGACUCAGGAGAAGAGAAUAAUAAAACACCAACCGGACCAACCACAAUGGUCCUUGAUGAUGAAGAAGAGGUUGAUGGUGAAGAGGCCCCCUUUCAAAAAAGAAAAAGAUCUUCAUCAAUUCAACCGGAUGCUUAGCCGGGGGAGUUUCAAACUCUACCUCCAAAGGAAGUUCAAGAACUCUGGGAGGGGGAGGGGGUGAAAUAGCAAUAUCCGAAAAUGCUACAUCUCAUUUUUGGAUUCCCACAAUUGCUUCUGCUUAAAGGAUUUGAAUUCCUGACCUUCCUCCAUUGUCAACUUUUGAGCCGAUAAUAGCUUCUUCUCCAUCCACACCAACUACUUCUUCUCCACUGACCCCAGCUGAACAAGUAGGGAAUGCCCCUUCUCCACAGUCUCCCAACCAAGAAAAUUUGAGAAAUACUUAUUUGGUACCCACUCAAGACCCUCAUGGAAAACAAAGUGCCAUUCUUUCGAUUUCGAAGGAGUGCCAUAUACUUUCCAAGACGGUGGAUCUCGCCAAUUACCUGAAGUCGUUGGGCUCAGAGAAAGAUUGGAGAAAGUAGGACACUCUUUUUGUGAAGUGUCUGAUAAACAAUAACAUGCAUUGUUCGGUGCAGGUAGCAAUCUAACUUCCUCCUAUCUUCUUUUAAUUUGCACUUCGCAUUAAUUACUUUAGGUCUAACCUUUUUCAUGUCAACCUUAUUGCUUCCAAGGGCCUGCAAAGGUUGAUUUUGGACAAGCAAGAGAUUUCUUCAGAACGAGAUCAACUUUUGGUUGAAGGAAUUAGCUUACCGGGCGCCUCUCAGUGCUGGAGGCAAAAAUUGCUCAAAUAGAUGACCUCAAGGCCCGAUUCCAGCAGUCCAAACAAGAUAGAGUGGCUCACAGCUUGGAAUCCGCCCAGCUACAUGAAAACCUUACAGACCCAAAGCCUAAAUGUGUUGAACUUCAUGAUAUUGUGACUGUUGCUGCCGAGCGCGAGUCUGUCUUUAUGGAACAAGUUAAUAACUUAGAGGCUAUCUUACGCUCCAAAAUUGAGGAGGCCAAUGCUGCCAAGGAGAAUAGGGCGAGAAUGGAGGAAAGAUUCAAAAGGACCAUGGAGCAGAAUCAACUCCAUUCAUUAACCUAUGUCGAGCUGGACUCCAAAAUCAACAUUAUUAAAGCUGAAAAUGAAAAUCUCUAAUCCAAGAUUGAAAAAUUCCGAGCUAAACUCUAAGACCAAGAGGAUCCACUCGUCUUCGAGAAAACCUACACCAUUUAUUAUACGAAGAGGAAGACCUUGGAGGAUGCUAAAGAUGGAAUUUCUAACAUUGAUGAAUAUAGUGCUAAAGCACAGGAGCUGGAUACAACUACUCACAAGAAUCUCCCUACUCGGCCCAUUACAUCUGAUUCUUUGAAUACUAACUCCGAGUAAUCGGGAACCGAGGGAGAGACUGAAAAAGAUGAAGGCCUCUAAUCGGAAGUGGAACAACCUUCUCCUAAUAAAGAAAACGAAGGCUUUUCUCUCCCUUUGGGUUCUGGCAGCAAGAACUGAUGUAGUUUUCAUUACUUCUUGUAAUUGUGACAAAACUUUCCACUAGUUUGGCAAUUUAUUUAAUAAAAGAAACCAUUUACUUAAGUAUUGUGCAAGAAAAUAUUCUUUUACAUUAACUGACAAAGUUUCAGGAAUCUUUUCACAUCCGAUAGCUUUUGAUUCCAGGCAUAAACACUUCCAGAAUCUACCUUUUACUAUGAGGGUUUCAUAAGAGAGGGCCCUCGUAUUUACGAUGACAAUGUCUCAUGUUCAUUCCGGCACAACCAUUUAAAGUUUUUGUUAACACUCAAAUGAUAAAAUAAAUUAACUUAUCAUUCAGGAAAGAAUAAUAUAAAAAUAAAAGGACUUUGAUUUAUUCCCUCUAUCUUUAAAAGUAUAUUUACAUAAACAUUCAUUUGCUUAAGUAAAUAAAGGUUCCAAUACAUGUGGCUAACUUGUACAACUUAUUUCUGUGAGGCUGAUCAUGUAGUCACCGGCCCUGAUAAGAUAUUGAUCCUGGUUCUACUGGUCCCUGUCUUUAUAACACUUUUACUGCUUUGAUAUGUAUUAUUCCCACCAAUGUUCAGAUUCUAAGUGUGAGAAUUAGAACACUGAGGUCUUGCAUUCGUCGAUGACAUAUCGUAGUAUCUUUACAUUAUUGCCUUAUUAAUAGAAAUAACUUGGGGAUGGUUAAAUAAUCUACUUCCAGAUGUUAACAAGCCAAAGAUUACUUAACCAUCCACAAGUUGUUUGCCUCACGAGUUGAUCUACAUAAAACUAUUUCUGGAAGUCCCUCAUUUGUCGACGACCCUUCCUUCAUAGUAUGCUUUAUAUUGUUGCCUCAUUAAAAACCUUGCUAGAAAAAUAUAAUUGGGAUAAAAACUGGUCGAAGAGAAAAGGAGUGUAGAGCAUACUUUUAGUACCAGCAAGGAUCUUUAGCAAUAUUACCUUUUGAGGUGGGUCAUAUUCCAAUUGCUUGGCAAUUUGACUCCAUCUUGAUCUUCCAAUUCAUACGAACAUUUACCAGUUAUAGCUGAAAUCUGAUAAGUUCUUUCCCAUGUUGGUCCCAGCUUCCCAACAUUAACGUUUCAAGUACUUUGAGUGACUUUUCUUAGGACCAAAUCCCCAACUUUGAAAUAUCAUAGAUUCUCUCUGCGGUUAAAAUACAUUUGCAUCAUUUGCUUUUGUGCCAUUAUCCUUACAUACGCCAGAUCCCCAUGCUCUUCAAGCAAAUCUAAUUUAUCCAGCAAUGAUUCAUUGUUUGCUUUUUCUUUUGCUCGGAAAAACCCUAUGUUCAGUUCCCCCACUUCCAUCGGUAUCAAAGACUUUUAAUUGUAUACAAGUGAAAAGGGUGUUUUAUACGUGCUCGACUUUGUCGUGGUCUGGUAUGCCCAUAACAUACCCGGUAGCUCAUCUGGAAACUUGACUUUAGCAUCUUCUAACUUCUUUUAAGGUUUGAAUAAUUACCUUGUUAGUCGACUCCACCUGUCCAUUAGCACUCGAGUGGUAUGGUAAAGAUGUAACUCGUUUGAUCUUCAAUCCUUCCAAAAACUUUGUCAGUUUGGAAACUAUGAAUUGUGGUCCAUUGUCACAAGUUAUUUCUAUUGGUUUUCCGAAUUGGUAAAUUAUGGUCCUAUAUAAAAUUGACCAUCUCUCAUUAUUCGAUCUUUUGGUAAGCACAUGCUUCAACUUAUUUAGUAAAAUAAUAAUUUAAAACCAAAAGAAAUUUUACCUUACCAGGUUCUAGUGGCAAGGGACCCACUAUGUCCAUCCCCCAUUUCAUAAAUGGCCACGGUGACACCACCGAAUGCAAAAGUUCUACAUAUCAAUGCACUAACUGUGCAUGACGCUGACAUUUAUCACACUUUUGUAGAAUUAUCUUUGCAUCUUGCUACAUCCGGGGUCAAUAGUAGCCAGCUCUGACUAACUUGAGAAUUAAUUAGUCUACACCAGAAUGGUUCCGGAAUACUCCUUCAUGAACUUCCAUCAUCACAUAGUCAGCCUCCGAGGCCCCUAGACACAAAUCUAGUGCCCCUUGGAACGAUCUCAUGUAUAACUGUCAAUCAAAAAGAUAGUAACGAGUCACCUUGGUCCGUAGUGCCAAGGAUUCUUUUGGGUCUUCUAGAAAUUUGCCAUGUCUUAGAUAUUCAAUGAACUCGUUCCUCCGGUCCCAUAUUAAGUUGGUUGAAUUAAUUUCACAGUAGCUGUCCACGCCCAACACCGAAUAUAGUAAUUGAACGAAUAUACCAGAAUCAGAUCCUUCCAUCUCUGUGGAUGAACCCAAAUUGGCCAAUGCGUCUGCCUUCAAAUUUUCCUCCCUUGGAAUGUGGACGAUUGACCACUCUGUGAAUCGUGUAAGUAAUGGUUGAACCUUGUUCAAGUUCUGUUGCAUGCGCUACUCCUUGGUGUCGAAAAUUCUAUACACUUGGUUUACCACCAACUGGAAUCGCAUUUUAUCUCGAUGACCUUGGAACCUAGUCCCCGAGCUAGUUCAAGUUCUGCAACCAAAGCCUCGUACUCGGCUUUAUUGUUAGUUAAUGGUAAAAUUCUAUUGGCCUUCCUUAGGGUUUCCCCCAAAUGAGUGAUUAAAAUUACACCAAAACCGGACCCUUUUACGUUGGAGGCUCCAUUUGUAAACAAGAUCAGACUCUCUAUACCAUUCCCGAUACCAACAAUGCUUCUUUAGCAGUAAAGGCAUUAAUUCCGAACUGAAAUCAGUCACGAAGUCGGCCUAAACUUGUUACUUAAUUGCAGUCUUGGGCUUGUAUUCAAUAUAGAAUUCACUAACUUCGACCACCUACUUAGCCAAAUGACCUGACAACUCAGGCUUAUGAAGGACAUUCCUUAACGAAAAGGUUGUCACAAUGGCUAUUAGAUGACAUUAAAAAUAUGGUCUAAGCUUCUAAGAGGCAACUACGAGAGCUAAGGCCAGCUUUUCAAGGUGCGGAUAACGUGUAUCCGCUCCUGAUAAUAUUUUACUAAUAUAAUAAAUGGGAAAUUGCAUACCAUCUUCUUCCCGGACCAAAACGGCACUUACCACUACUUUUGAGACCGCUAGAUAAAUCAAUAGUUGCUCACCUUCUCCUAAUUUCUACAACAACGGAGGGCUAGAUAGGUACCUUUUUAGGUCUUUAAGUGCAUAUUGGUAUUCCGGAGUCCAUACGAUGUCAUUCUUUUUUUUCAAAAGCAAAAAAAAAAUGAUGGAACUUUUACGAAGACCUCGAGAUGAACCUUCUUAGAGAUACCAAUCUACCGGUCAACAUCUUUAUUCCUUCACGCCUGUCAGCUGGUCUGGGAUAUUCUCGAUGGAUUUGAUUUUAUUGGGGUUUACCUUAAUUCCUCUUUGAGAGACCAAAAACCCCAGGAACUUAUCGGAACCCACUCCGAAGGCAUAUUUCUUCAGGUUGAGAUUCAUGUUGUACUUUUUCAGAAUGUCAAACGUCCCUUAGAGAUGUUCCAGUUGAUCUCCUGCAUAAAGAGACUUAACUAGCAUGUCGUCGAUAUAAGCUUCCAUCGUCUUACCUAUCUAUUUUUUAAAUAUCUUAUUAGCGAGCCUCUAAUAAGUGGCUCCCGUAUUUUUAAUCCCACAAGGCAUCACAUUAUAGCAAUAUGUGGUAAAGUUUGUGAUGAAAGAAUUCUUCUUUUAAUUUUCUGGGUCCAUCGUAAUUUGAUAAUACCCGAAAUAAGCAUCAAGAAAACUCAUCAACUCGUGCCUGGCUGCAGCAUUGAUCAUUUGAUCAAUGUUCGGCAAUAGGAAAAAGUCUUUGGGGCACACUUUAUUUAAAUUCUUAUCAUCUACACACAUCCUAAAUUUUCUAUUCUUUUUAGGCACUACUACGUUAGCUAUCCACUUCGAGUACUUUACCUCUCGAAUUGAACUGAUGUUAAGUAAUCGGGUUACCUCUUCCUUAACAAACCUGUUUUUGACCUUUGCUAUCAAUUGUUUCUUCUGCCUUACCGGGGGGAAGUUUGGAUCCAGACUAAGUUUGGAGACCUCCAAAUCCAAUGGAAAAUUUGUCAUAUCUGAAUGCAACCAUGAAAAGCAAUCAACGUUAGAUUUAAAAAAAUCUAUAAGUUUCAACCUGAGUUCGGGACUCAACCCCGUUCCUAAAUGAAAUUUUCUUUCCAGAAAUUCUUCAAACAAAGCCACUUGUUUGAGCUCUUCUGCGGUUAACUUGGUUGCAUCCAUCUUUUCUGGUACCUGAAAAGACCUUGGUGCCUGAUAUAAUUCUGAUGACUUCUCGUUUUUAUCAUCUACAAUUGGGAUGGGAGAAGGCAUUGGUUCCUGUAGUUGCUAUUUGCUGGUUUCUUUGCCCUUGCUGCUGGAAAUGGUUACUGUGUUCAUCUCCCUUACAGCAGAUUGAUCUCCUCUGAUCUGCUUGAUCCCUUCUAGUGUUGGAAACUUUAACAGUUAAUGGUAUGUGAAGGUACGACCUUCAUUUUGAUGUAUCCACGGUCUUCCAAAGAUUAUAUUAUAGACCAUGUCGCCAUUUACCACUUCAAACAGGGUGGUCUUUGCUACACCUUCAGCAUGUGUGGGCAGAAAAAUUUCUCCUCGGGUUGUUAUACUUGUUAUGUUGAAGCCAGCUAAAAGCUUUGUUGAUGGAAUGAUAUUCCCAGUUAACUUUGCUUCUCUCCAUUGUAUGAUAUUGGUUGAACUUCCUGGAUCAACCAAAAUACGCUUAAUACUAAAAUCUAAAAUAUUAAAAGAAAUUACCAAAGCAUCAUUUUGCGGUAGGAUAAGUCCAUCGGCAUCUUCCAUCGUGAAGGUGAUGUCAUCUUUUGAGACUUCUCGGAUCCUCUUGCCAUGAGUCACUGAUAUAUUCGUCUUAUUUGCUGGCAAAAAUGUCACCCCAUUUACUUUGUCUCCUCUGAAGAUCAUGUUGAUUGUCAUUCGAGGUGACCCUUCUGCUGGUUUUAAUGGUUAUGUAAUAUCCCUAUUUCUCUUAGAGUUGUUUUUGGUGCGAUCGCUUAACAAUUCCCCGAGGUGACCAUUCUUUAACAAUAUUUCCACCUCUUCAUGAAGAUGUCGGCAGUCCCCAGUCCUAUUAUCGUGAGUCCCAUAGAAUUCACACCAUAGAUUAGGAUCCCUUUGGCUAGGAUCCGAUCAGAUCGAUUUUGGGAACCUAAAUUCUUUAAUAUUUCUCAUGGGCGACACUAGUUCCACUAGGGUGAUACUAAAAUUGUAAUUAAACAACCGGGGAUACGCUGAAUCUUAGGAUCAUGGCACCUUUUUCUCCUACAACAAUCUGUUACUCCGGCCAUGAUCCAUCCUUCUAUCGCAAAUAAACCUAUUCGAUGACUGGAAUCCUUUAUUAUCGUGCCCUUCGGCCUUCUCAUAAGGCUGAAAAUGACUUCUAGAGUGUAUUCGAUCUAUAUCAAAAUCAUUUUUAAACUUAUCUUGAUUUCAAUCACGAUUCCGUCCUUUGGAAGACACCGUGGAACCAAGUCGACCAUCUUCACUUCUGAUCUUUGACUCAUAGAGAUAUUAAACAUCUGCCCAUAUGGUUGCCUGAAUUUCGAGCAAGCUCUCCUGCAAUUUUUGUGAGUUAUCGGAGCUUAAUAGGUUGAGACCCUUUGUAAAUGCCUCCGUUGCCCACUCAUCUUGAACCGCAGAUAACAACAUCAUUUCUUUCCGGAACCAGAUCACAAACUCUCUUAACAAUUUAGCUUUUCUUUAAGAUAUCAUGAAUAUAUCCACCUUCCUUGCUUGGACCUUUCUUGCUCCAGCAUUAUCUUUGAUAAACGAAUCUACAAGCAUUUCAAAAGGGUCAAUAGAAUGUUUUGAUAAGAGGGAAUACCAGGCUAAGUCACCAUUCGUAAGGGUUUCACCAAACUUCUUCAACAAAACCGAUUCGAUGUAAUGCUGGGCCAAGUUGUUUUCCUUUACUGUCGUAGUGUAGGUCAUAUCAUGAUGUGCUCCUGUGGAUCCGAAGUCACAUCAUAUUUUGGUAUAUCCAACAUCUUAAACCUCUUUGGGAUUAACUUCGAUGCAGCACAUAGUUUAAACAGCAACUACAUAUACUUCUUUAAAUCUGAUCCUUUUAACAUCGGCGGCACCCCCGUGAUAUGAUCCAUCAGAGCGAAAUUCCUUUGCAUUCUAAUCCAUUCAUUCAUUCAUUUCUCUCAUUAAUCUUAUGAGCUCGGUUUUGAAAGGGUUAUUUAAAUUGUUGUUCGCAAAUUCACUACCGGUACCUCUGGCCUCGUCGAAAUUGACCUCCUCUCUUGGUGUGUCGUUAUCAGUUCCUUGAGUCGUUUGCUUUACGAGAAUGCUGGGAGGAAUCGGGGCCCUUCCAUUAGCAUUAUUAGAAGCUCCCCAUACUACAUGUUUCAAUUUUGUCAUCACCCAAUCUUGCCUUGAGAGGCGAUCCAUAAUUGCCUUUUUCUAUUCCCUCAAGAUUUUGACUAUUUCAACAACGUGCUCAUCCUUUGCAUCAUCAAGAGUUGGGCCCCGCACAUGUCGAGGAUACAGACCUUCGCGAACUAGGUUGUUUCAUCCCCUUCGUUGUGGGGCUCACUGAUUGAAUCAUCACGCGUGAACACAUCUUCUUGUUGACCGUGUACUCCAACAUUUUAAACAAUAUUGACAUCAUUAGCUGUCAUACCUUAUCUUUCUUUUUCUAAGGAAGGAAUCAAAAUUUGUCAGUAAUAGAUAAAUAGAUCAAAGCAAUUACACAAUUGUCAAUGCCCCACAGUGGACGCCAAACUGUUUACCCAUAAAAUGAUAUAGUUAGAUUUGUAACGUAGUUUAUAGACAAAUAAAUCGAUUUGGUCCUAAAGUACGAAAACAAUAAUAACCGAAACAAGAAUACGAAAUAAAACUAAUGGAAACACAAGCCCGAGUAUGAAUUUAGCCUUUCCAAUGGCAAAAAGAGAACAUUAUUCAAGAACAAAGACUGAGAACAAUAUUAUAAAAUGGGAGCAGAAUAUAGCUUUUUUGUGUACAAAAUAUUUCCACCCCUACAAUGGAUGCUAAUCCUCCUACUUACAGCUCUGUUCUGGGAGACAAGAUCCUCAAAUCAAGUUCCUCUUGAAUGAGAAUAAAACCGUCAUUGAUGGCUGCAUAAUUGUUGGCUAUAAAUGCAUAUAUUCUUUGUAACAGUUGCUCGUUGAAUGUUAUCUAAUGAAAAUGCUUUGAAUCUUCAUUAUUAAUUGGCUACUCCGUCUUCGAGAUUCAUUCAGUAUCGAUUGCAUGAUUACAUCUGGUGCCAGCUGUUUGCUGACUCACGUCCCAUCUAUCUUUUGUUCCAUGCGUCACUUCGUCAUUCGCCCAACUAUCAUUAACCGAUUUUGCCCCAUACAGGUGUAGCUUUGAUUAUCGACACACAAGUUGAGGCUGACUCCAGUAUAUUGAGGCCAAAGGCACAGACAUAUAUAGGACUAGGACUAAACCGUGUAUUUCCGAGAAAAACUUAUAUACAUACGAUACCUAAUUCAAAACAUAGGAAAAUGGUAAUUUGUUUAGUCUUUUUCCCGUUCUUUUCCCUUUUUGAAUGAUUUUAGAAGUUUAAUUGUAUUCUAAAGACUAAACAUCAAUCCUCCCACGAUACUUGAGUUUUGAAGGUUACGUGGGUGGCAUACAUAAGUUCGUUGCUCAUUCUUCAAUUGUCAUUAUCUUUUUUUGUUGUUUCUAUCGUCACUUCCUUUUCUUUGUUGCAUUAUAGUGUUUGAUCUAAUUCUUAAUGUUAGCUAGAAAAAAUGGACAGCAAUGAGGUGUUAUAUAUAUNNNNNNNNNNNNNNNNNNNNNNNNUAUAUUAGUUAGUUAAAGCGGUUAAUGAAAAAAAAAGUUUGAUAUCACUAAACAACUCAAUAAAUGAAUAUGCAUGCGAGUCAUCUAUCAUAUCCGUAUAACAAUUAAGCAUUGGUUGAUUUUCGCCACUUGGAAUUAAAAAUUUACGUAACAAACUUCCUUCAUGCAAAGAGGUGUGAACAUUGGAUUAGAACUCGUACACACUGGACAAACAAAUUAGUCCCCACAUCAACUAACUCAAGUUCCAAACUCAUAGGCUAGCUAGUUAUAACCAACACUUAUAAAUACCACUCAAUAUUAACAAGAGAAAACAUCCCAACAGCACCCAAGUAUCUUGUACUACUACUUUUUCAAAACUCAUCUGCCAUCACUUUUAUUACCAAAAUGGCUGAAGAGAAGAAGCACCACUUCGGUCUCUUCCACCACAAGGACAAGGAGGAAGACAAAACUACCUAUGGAGAAACUCCAUAUGGUGGUGAUACUGAAAAAACUACCUAUGGAGAGAAUACAUAUGAAGAGAAAACUAGUUAUGGUGGGGGAGAUAACUAUGGGGAUAACAAAUAUGGUGAGAAAACUGGCUAUGGAGAAAGUGGAUAUGGAGAGAAAACUAGUUAUGGUGAGGGAGGUAACUAUGGAGAUAGUGGCUAUGAAAAUAAGACUAGCUAUGGAGAUAGUGGCUAUGAAAAUAAGACUAGUUAUGGAGAUAGCGGCUAUGAAAACAAGACUGGCUAUGGAGAUAUUCCAUCUGAUACUACCUAUGGAGAGAAAACUAAUUAUGGUGAAGGAGAUACCUAUGGAAAAGGAGCUGCCUACUCAUCUGAGACCACUAAUUUUGAAGAGACUACUGAUGAAGGCAAAACUGGUGAGGAUUAUGAGAAAGAGAAAAAGCACCACAAGCAUCUUGAACACGUGGGAGGGCUUGGGGCUGCUGCUGCUGGUGCCUUUGCCUUGGUAAUUUUUCACACAAUGUUUUAUGUUACAGUUUUAACUUUUAUAUCCUUGUGGUCCAGUCCUUCCCCGGACCCCGCGCAUAACGGAAACUCAGUGCAUCGGACUGCCUUUAUUGUCGUAUCAGUAAAGUUACAAAA